GAUGAACGCUGGCGGCGUGCCUAAUACAUGCAAGUCGAGCGAAUGGAUUAAGAGCUUUCUCUUAUGAAGUUAGCGGCGGACGGGUGAGUAACACGUGAGUAACCUGCCCAUAAGACUGGGAUAACUCCGGGAAACCGGGGCUAAUACCGGAUAACAUUUUGAACCGCAUGGUUCGAAAUUGAAAGGCGGCUGCGGGUGUCACGUAUGGUAGGACCGGCGUCGCAUUAGCUAGUUGGUGAGGUUACGGCUCACCAAGGCAACGAUGCGUAGCCGACCUGAGAGGGUGGUCGGCCACACUGGGACUGAGACACGGCCCAGACUCCUACGGGAGGCAGCAGUAGGGAAUCUUCCGCAAUGGACGAAAGUCUGACGGAGCAACGCCGCGUGAGUGAUGAAGGCUUUCGGGUCGUAAAACUCUGUUGUUAGGGAAGAACAAGUGCUAGUUGAAUAAGCUGGCACCUUGACGGUACCUAACCAGAAAGCCACGGCUAACUACGUGCCAGCCGCCGCAGUAA
rnacentral:rRNA from 1 species